GAAGCAGAUGUCCGAGGCUGGAAUAAAGUAUAUCCCCAGCAACACUUUUUCAUACUAUGACCAGGUUCUUGAUACCACGGCUAUGCUCGGUGCUGUACCUGCAAGGUAUGGUUGGAAUGGUGGUGAGAUUGGAUUUGACACCUUCUUUUCAAUGGCUAGAGGAAAUGCUACUCUCCCUGCAAUGGAGAUGACCAAGUGGUUUGAUACCAACUAGUAAGUAACAUUUAUUAAGCAAUUUCCAGGCUUGAUUUUUUUUUUUUUGCAUUCGGCCUAUUUGUUUUUAUACUGUAUUAAUUCAAUGACUGACAUUUGAGUGAUUGUUUCCAGUCAUUUCAUUGUUCCUGAAUUGGGUCCAGAUACUUCAUUCUCGUAUUCUUCUCACAAAGCUGUCUCUGAAUACAAGGAGGCAAAGGAGGUAUUUGAUAUUAUCUGAUUAUACAUUCAUUAUUUACAUAGUUUUUUAAUACAUUGUCGAUUUCUUACCUUUUUCUUCUUCCUAUUAUGUAGCUUGGCAUUGAUACAGUUCCAGUGCUUGUUGGUCCUGUUUCCUACUUGCUUCUUUCAAAGCCUGCUAAGGGAGUGGAGAAGUCCUUCUCUCCACUUUCUCUUUUGGAAAAUGUUCUCCCUGUUUACAAGUAAUCCAAAUUUCUUAUCCUCAUUUUUUGAUAUAGAUUAUCUAUUUCUCCUUUUUCCCUUCAUCUGUUGUCAUAUUAAGUAAAUAUUACCCUUGCUAUAUUCAGGGAAGUUAUCAGCGAGUUGAAAGCUGCUGGUGCCACAUGGAUUCAGUUUGAUGAACCCACACUUAUUAAGGAUCUUGAUUCUGAACAGCUUGAUGCCUUUACCAAGGCGUAUGCUGGCCUUGAAUCGUCUUGUGCUGGUUUGAAUGUGCUUAUCGAGACAUACUUCGCUGAUGUUACCCCUGAGGUUUUCAAGUAAGUUAAUCGUCUCUUGAAGUUCUUUUGCAGGAUUUUGUUUUCCAUAUAUGUAAUCUAUUUUUUCCCAUCAACAGAACUCUCACCUCCUUAAAAGGUGUCACAGCUUAUGGUUUUGAUCUUAAUCGUGGAGCUAAGACGUUGGAUUUGAUCAAGAGUGAUUUCCCAGCUGACAAAUACCUUUUUGCUGGAAUUGUUGAUGGUAGGAAUAUCUGGGCUAACAAUCUAGCAUCAUCUAUGACCACUCUUUCCUCCCUUGAGAGUAUCGUUGGUAAAGGUAUGUUUUUUAUACUUAAAUAUGUAACUUCUGACUAAUUUACACCAUUAAAUAAUAUUAGAAUAUACUGAUGAUGUAUUAUAUCUUUUUCUUUAUGCAGACAAGUUGGUUGUUUCAACCUCAUGCUCCCUUCUGCAUACUGCUGUUGAUUUGAUCAACGAGACAAAGCUAGACAGUGAAAUUAAGUCAUGGCUCGCUUUUGCUUCUCAGAAGAUUGUUGAGGUGAAUGCUUUAGCUAAGGCAUUGGCCGGACAGAAGGAUGAGGUUAGUCUGUCAAUCAAACAACUAUUUGUAACUUUUCUUCAUAUCUGUCUUUUCCCUAUUUCUCAAGUCAAUACUUUCUUAAAUUCAUGCAGGCUUUUUUCUCAGCAAAUGCUGCUGCUCAGGCUUCUAGGAAGUCAUCUCCAAGAGUUAACAAUCCUGAAGUUCAACAAGCUGUAAGGAUUUCAGUAUAUUUUCUUCUUUUUCCAUCUUCUUUUUUAUGUUCAAUUCCAAUUGACUUCUUAUUCCUACCUUGAUAUUUUUUAGGCUUCUGCUCUGAGGGGAUCUGACCACCGACGUUCCACUGAUGUUAGUUCCAGAUUGGAUGCACAACAGAAGAAGCUUAAUCUUCCAAUUCUUCCUACCACAACCAUCGGAUCAUUCCCCCAGACUGUUGAACUCAGGAGAACUCGCAGAGAAUACAAGGCAAAAAAGUGUGUGAUAAUAUAUAUAUAUCCCACUUCUGCAUUUUGGUUCUCUUUUUUUUAGGCUGUUCAAACUUAUUUAUAUCCUAUUUCGUACAGGAUCUCUGAGGAAGCCUAUAUCAGUGCUAUGAAGGAAGAGAUCAGCAAGGUUGUCAAAUUGCAGGAGGAACUUGAUAUUGACGUCUUGGUUCAUGGAGAACCUGAGGUUAGUGUGCUUUAUAUUUAUUUCCAAUGUUCGAGGCAAUCGUAAUUUUUUUUAAAAACACCAAUCAACCAACUGUCCUGCAUUCUGCAGAGGAACGAUAUGGUUGAGUACUUUGGAGAGCAAUUAUCCGGGUUUGCUUUCUCAGCCAAUGGUUGGGUGCAAUCUUACGGAUCACGUUGUGUGAAGCCUCCAAUCAUCUAUGGUGAUGUGAGCCGCCCCAAGGCUAUGACUGUCUUCUGGUCUUCAAUGGCACAGAGCAUGACUGCCCGUCCCAUGAAGGGAAUGUUGACUGGACCAGUCACCAUUCUCAACUGGUCUUUUGUCAGAGAUGACCAGCCUAGGUUCGAGACAUGCUACCAGAUUGCUCUCUCUAUCAAGAAGGAAGUUGAAGAUCUUGAAGCGGCUGGCAUUAAUGUAAGUUUUUUUAACUCAAUUUCGCAUCUAUUUUAGAUUUUAAAUACUUUUGUUUACUGUUUUCUUUCUUUCUUUCAGGUCAUCCAAAUUGAUGAAGCUGCCCUGAGGGAGGGUUGUCCUCUCCGCAAGUCGGAGGUGGCUUUCUACCUGGAAUGGGCAGUACACUCUUUCCGCAUCACCAACUGUGGUGUCAAAGACACCACUCAGAUCCACACCCACAUGUGCUACUCCAACUUCAAUGACAUUAUCCAUUCCAUCAUUAACAUGGAUGCCGAUGUGAUCACAAUUGAGAACUCUCGUUCUGAUGAGAAGCUUCUCUCAGUUUUCCGUGAAGGUGUGAAGUACGGUGCUGGAAUUGGCCCAGGUGUUUAUGACAUCCAUUCACCCAGGAUCCCAACUACCGAAGAAAUUGCUGACCGCAUCAACAAGAUGCUUGCCGUUCUUGAGACUAACAUCCUGUGGGUGAAUCCGGAUUGUGGUUUGAAGACCCGUAAGUACAGUGAGGUCAAGCCUGCACUUACCAAUGUUGUUGCUGCUGCCAAGAAACUCCGAACUGAGUUGGCCAGCGCCAAGUGAGCAAUAGAUAUUUUCAGCCAAUCCAUCCAUAACUAUUUCGUUCCUUCCGAAUUGUCCUCCAUGUUUUUUAGCAAUAAAUAAUUACGAUGAGUGUUUGUUAGCCUCUCUCUUUUAAUAGGUCUGUGUUUGUUCUUUUUUAUCUUUUUAUAAAUCGUCAGCGGUUAUUGUUGCCACGGUGAUGAAUAUAUCAAUCUACCAUGUUAUGACUAUGAAAUCAAAUCAUUUUAUUUUAUUUUGAGACGGUCAGACGGAAGAUUGUUUAUCGAAUAUAUAUAAUCCAAAAGUGAAAGUCAAACAUAGCGGCUUGUGGGAUGUCGCUGCGUUGCACGUGUUUAAAAUAUUUAUACAAAAAUGGCCCCAAUAAAUUUUUGACCGAAUAAUUGAAUUGUACGGAAUUAUUUUAUACGGAAAAUUGAACAUUUCAAAGCAAUUGAUCAAAUGAAUCGAUACAACUCUAAAAGAAGUAUAACCAGAAUCAAUUCACCUGAGAUGAAGUCAGGUCCGACGAUUUAAACGACCACGGAUACCAAAAGACAUUACAGAUUAUUUAUCACAUUUAAUAGUCGAAGCACUCAUAAAUCAUAAUACGAUCCCUGACAGACAUUACAGAUUUACAGCUAAGCCAGUUAUCUUCGGUAGACAGAACUUGAGCCGCGUCUUCUCCCAAAUCCAUUCAAGCUAGGGUUUCUUUUACUUCUUUCUCUGCUAAAUGUUGAAUGUCCUUCGAGAUGGAUGAUAAUCAAUGAAGAAUGUAUCAGAGGUCUUUAGAUCAUCAAACCGGAGACUCACUUCAUCCUUGUUGGGGUUUGACUUCCAAAUUAUGUUUCAACUAAUAUGGUGGCUGAUGCUUUAUCAAGAUCAUUUGAAAAAGGAGAAGAUGUUAUUUUCUCACAAUCCUCUAAAGUAUGUCCAGGUUUUUUUUUGGCACUAUCAAUUCCUAUAUAUAUACCUUGAUUAAUAAAAUUAGACAGAAAAAUAUGGACUCUACAACAAUUAAUUCAGUAAAUUAAAAACAAAUCCAAGUCAUUGGUGGGUUUCUCAGUUCAGAGGGAUUAAUCAAAUUAAUGGGUAAGAUCUAUUUACCUAAGGAUUUUGAAAUCAAGAAGAAGAUCAUAAAGGAAUAUCACUCAUCAUUGAUAGGUGGACAUUCUGGAAUCAAAGGUACAAUGAAGAGAAUAAAUCUGCAAUUCUGGUGGGAAGGUAUAACAAAAAAUAUUAAAGAAUUUGUUCAAAGUUGUGUAGUUUACCAGCAGAUGAAACCAAUAAACCAGAAGAAGGUAGGGUUGCUUAUGCCUUUGCCUAUAUUUAACAUGGUUUGGAAGGACAUAACAAUGAAUUUCAUUAUUGAGUUGCCACAAGUUUAAGGGAAGUCAAUGAUUAUAGUGGUAGUGGAUAAACUGUCUAAAUAUGCUCACUUUGGGGCACUACCUGCAAAUUUUAAUGCAACCAUGGUAUCUGAAUUAUUUAAUUCAAUGGUUAUAAAACUACAUGGUGUCCAGAAUCAAUUGUAUCUGAUAAGGAUUAGAUAUUCACAUCCAAGUUUGGGAAUGAGCUACAUGCCAAGAGUGGAACUAAGCUACACUAUUCCACUGCAUUUCACCCUGAAAGUGUUUGCCAAUCUGAAGUUGUUAACAAAACUUUAAAGAUGUUUUUGAGGUGCUUUUGUCACGAUGAUCCUAAAAAGUGGCUGAGCUUAUUACCAUGGGUUGAAUUAUGGUAUAACACUAACUACCAUUCUUCAAUGAAAACACCAUUCAAUGUGUUGUACGUAUGGUAGAGACCCCCCCUGGAAUUAUACAAUGCAAUCCAGGUGAUUCAGUUAUUGAUGCAGUAGAUCUAACUAUGCAAGUAAGAGAAGAGGCUUUGAAAUAUAUUAAAUCAAAUUUACAGAAGUGUCAAGAGGUCAUGAAAUUAAAGACAGGCACAAAAAGAAAAGAUAUCGAAUUUAAAGUGGGAGAUUGGAUUUGGGUGAAAUUAAAACCAUACAAAUAAUCUAUUGUGACUUGCAGACUGAACAACAAAUUAUGCAAAAGAUAUUUCAGACCUUACCGAAUCACCAAGAAAAUUAGUGUUGUGGUACUACCUCCAGGAAGUCGGAUCCACAAUACAUUCCAUAUUUCGAAACUGAAGGCUUAUAAAGGAGUAUUACCACCACCUGAAGAAAAUAGCCCAAUUCUAGCAAUUGAUAACCAGCCGAUUUUGUACCCAAUAGCAUUAAUUGAUUUCAAGAAGAUUUACCUCAAUGGGAAGCAGACAUAUCAAGUACUGGUGCACUGGAGCGGAUCUACACUUGAAGACGCAUCUUGGGAGAAUUUAGAAGACUCGAAGAAUAUGUUUCUUGUUAUCGUCAAUGAGGACAUGACGAUUAUGGAAGGAGAGGAGCAUGAUACGAUCCGACCUGACACUACAACUAUCGUGCGAGAAGUACUUUGGACAAUUGAAAAAGAGGGAAUGGAUGCAGUAAACCUAAUCGGGUGUCUAGGGCUCCGAAGUGAUUUGGGGAUUUCACAUCUGAUUUCUGAGGCGGAAGGCUUUGAGCUGGGCCGACAACUUAAAAGUUUAUUUAAUUAAGAAAUUUCUUUAAUUAUUGUUGGAUCGGAGUAAACCGUUUUAUAGUUUGUUUAAUUGUAUUUUUUUUUUUUUUUUUUUGAAACAAAUAAAUUUAGUUUACAAAAAAUAGAAUAUAGAAAAUUAGAAAUAUUUGUCGAGUGGC
rnacentral:lncRNA from 1 species